rnacentral:rRNA from 1 species
CCUACGGGUGGCAGCAGUGGGGAAUAUUGGGCAAUGGGCGCAAGCCUGACCCAGCAACGCCGCGUGAAGGAAGAAGGCUUUCGGGUUGUAAACUUCUUUUCUCAGGGAAGUAGAAAGUGACGGUACCUGAGGAAUAAGCCACGCCUAACUACGUGCCAGCAGCCGCGGUAAUCCGUAGGUGGCAAGCGUUAUCCGGAUUUACUGGGUGUACAGGGCGUGUGGGCGGGGAAGCAAGUCAGAUGUGAAAACCACGGGCUCAACCUGUUGCCUGCCUUUGAAACUGUUUGUCUUGAGUACUGGAGAGGCAGACGGAAUUCCUGGUGUAGCGGUGAAAUGCGUAGAUAUUAGGAGGAACACCAGUGGCGAAGGCAGUCUGCUGGACAGCAACUGACGCUGAGGCGCGAAAGCGUGGGGAGCAAACAGGAUUAGAUACCCCUGUAGUC